UACGUAGGUGGCGAGCGUUAUCCGGAUUUAUUGGGUUUAAAGGGAGCGUAGGUGGAUUGUUAAGUCAGUUGUGAAAGUUUGCGGCUCAACCGUAAAAUUGCAGUUGAAACUGGCAGUCUUGAGUACAGUAGAGGUGGGCGGAAUUCGUGGUGUAGCGGUGAAAUGCUUAGAUAUCACGAAGAACUCCGAUUGCGAAGGCAGCUUACUGGACUGUAACUGACGCUGAUGCUCGAAAGUGUGGGGAGCAAAUAGG
rnacentral:rRNA from 1 species